rnacentral:sRNA from 2 species
UCACGACGAGGACCGGACCGCGGAUGCCGCGAAGGACCCAUGCGGGCCCGAGCGGCUUGGGGUGAAGCCCCGAGUACCGCAAGGCACUCGGGGCCGGGCAACUCACCUGACCCGAACCCGACAGCUCACCUCGCAGGCGUCGGUGAGAAGGAAC